rnacentral:rRNA from 1 species
GGUAACCUGCCCAUGUGCCCGGGAUAACUUCUGGAAACGGAUGCUAAAACCGGAUAGGUAGCAGACAAGCAUUUGACUGCUAUUAAAGUGGCUAAGGCCAUGAACAUGGAUGGACCUGCGGUGCAUUAGCUAGUUGGUGAGGUAACGGCCCACCAAGGCGACGAUGCAUAGCCGGCCUGAGAGGGCGGACGGCCACAUUGGGACUGAGACACGGCCCAGACUCCUACGGGAGGCAGCAUG